rfam:Schistosoma mansoni strain Puerto Rico chromosome 3, complete genome
AUGAGUCCCAAAUAGGACGAAACGCGCGUC